rnacentral:rRNA from 1 species
UACGGGGGGAGCAAGCGUUGUUCGGAUUUACUGGGACGUAAGGGCGCGUAGGCGGACUGCCAAAGUCCGGGGUGAAAUCGGUUCGGCCUCAACCGGACAACAGCCUCGGAGACUGGCGGUCUGGAGGGGGGUAGGGGCAGCUGGAACUUCCGGUGGAGCGGUGAAAUGCGUUGAUAUCGGAAGGAACGCCGGUGGCGAAAGCGAGCUGCGUGGACCUUUCUGACGCUGAGGCGCGAAAGCCAGGGGAGCAAACGGG